GUCUACAGCCAUGCCAGCCAGCCUGAACAAAGCCAAUCCUAUCUGAUCUCAGAAGCUAAGCAGGGUCAGUCCUGGUUAGUACUUGGAUGGGAGACCACCACCUAGGAAGACCAGGUGAUAUAGGCA
rnacentral:rRNA from 1 species